AAACUGUGGUGAUGGUGAUGAUGAUGAUGAUUAUAAAUGUAUAAUUUAUAAUCAUCAUCAUCAUCAGCCUGUCCU
rnacentral:pre_miRNA from 1 species